GGGGGUGUCCCGGUUUCGACAGGAUACAAUCUAACCCAUAACUGCAGUGGUUUGGUAGACCUUAAUACUUCUAGGUUUGAUAAAAUGCAAACGAAGAAAAAAAUGAAUUUGAAAUGCCAGCAUUUAUGAUCAAUAAUGCAUCAGCUGGAGUUGCUUUAGCAGCUUAAUUAGACUUUAAGUUUAAUAGCAUUCAACGUUAAUUAAGUGUCUUUGUACUUCAUUUAGUAAACGUAUUUACCCAAGUACAAUAGGUGAUGUGAUUUUAGCAAUAAGCAUCAUUGAAAUUUUAUUGCUAACACUAUAAAUUAAAUCUAGUUGUUUCUGUUGGUUUAUAGUGUAAGUUAGAAACAGCUAAACUGUAGACGUUAUGGUUCGGAGUAUUUUGGACGCGGGUUCGAUUCCCGCCAUCUCCACCA
rnacentral:tmRNA from 1 species